rnacentral:tRNA from 1 species
AGAGCUUUAGUUUAAUUAAAAUAUCUGCUUUGCAAGCAGGAGAUGUGAUUUUUGCAUGCUCU